AUGCCUGAUUAUUUGAGGUUAAGCACCGGCCGUGGCGGAGGCUGCAGAAACGACAAUGGUGGAGGCCGUGGCAAUGGUAAGGGAAUCAACAGUGAUGCCGACAACGAUCUUGAUGAUGGCAACAAGAUCGAUGGCGAUAUCAAAUUUGAGAUAUGUUUCAAUGACCGAGAGGAUUCUUCAACCUCCUCCAUGGGCGCCAAAGUGAAGCUUGGUUUUUGA